CCCCUCCGCUCCUAGCGCGCGGGAGUCGGGAUUGUGCUUGCACGACUUCCCCCGGCCCGCGGCCUGUGAGCCCAGGUCCUGGGGUGAACCGAGCGCUCGCUCGUUCGUCAGACCGUAGCGCUCCAGCGGCUGUCCUUACUGUGUAGUAGCCAAAGCUGAGGGUGAUGACUGUGAACCAGAACAGACUGCCUCGCUGAAAAGUCACUUGGAACUCUUCUGUGGCAUCUGAAGCAGAUGGACGAAGCCAAGAGGGCCGAGAGUAUCUCAGCACCUAGAAAUGGACAAGGCUGGUUAUUAGAACAAAGAUUUCGCAGGUGGUGAGUCUCAAAGGCGAAGCUGAAUGAGGCAAGAAUCUGCAUCAAAGAGCCCUGGAAGCAAUCAUGGCUCAACUGUGAUGCCUUUAGAACAUGAAGUCCUCCAAGAAGAUGCCAUAGGAAUGGCCUCCAUCCCAGGGCCUGGAGAGCAGCCAGAGACAAGAAGAGUAGCCCAGGAGGGCACUGGCAGUCAGUGCUACACUGUGGCCUGUCAGUCUCAGAGCCAGGAUUUAAUCACUGGAUCUCCCAUUAACCAGUCAUAAUGAAGUAAGAACAAGAAGAUGGGGAAGAGGAAGUGUAAAACCGUGGCUUAAAUUUGCCAAGGAUAAGCUGAGUGUACUUCAGCAGUCAUUUGCACAGAAUCCUUAUCCUAAUUUUACAACCAGGGAAAAACUGGCUGGACAGUCUCUUGUCCUGUGUUUGUAAUUGAUAACUGGUUUCAAAAUAAAAGCCAGACCACCACUUAGAGAGAGACACAGAAUGUUCACUGCCAGGGAACUGCAUGAUUCCUCUGCCAAAGGCCACCCAUUUACAAGAAUCCAGGAAAACCAGGUGGAAUCUCCCAAUGAUGACCCUGAGCAGAACUUCUUGUACCCAGGAAGUUCUACUGGGUGGAGCUGGCCACUCUUCCGUGGAGACACAGGGGACUCCCAAUUAACAUGAUGGCUCAAAUAACUGUAGCCUUAUGGAUUAAAAGGAAACUAAGCUGUGAUUUGGAGUAUCCAGGUGAUACAGAAAAUGGCCCUUGUCGAUGUAGAUCAGCAUUAUUUCCUUAUCCUUCUGCAUCUCCUCCUCAGUAUUCUGAAAGGGACAAGCCUGAGAUGGGGGAAAGCCAGCAUGCAAGGCCCUCCCCUUUGUGCUGUGUUCAUGGUGUGCACGGAGAGAGGCAGCAGCAGGAGGAACAGAAAGGUUAUUUUCUUUACUGACUCUUUCAAGGACAUCAGCAGAAUGGUUGGGAAUGUCAUCAUGAGCAGCCUCAGCCUCAGAAUUACCAGGAGAAGCUGGUCUUCCAGGAUCAGGUUCUAAUGUAUAUGAGUCACAGGAUUUAGGGAAGCAGGCACUUUCCCUUCAGUCCCAGCAGCAUGGUUGAUGUUCCCAAGUAAUGGAGAGUCCCUGUGCUCUCAGUUGUGGCACACACCUUUGCAAAUAGUGAUCAGAUCUCCACAAACGCCUCUUGGGUAAGAUAUGCAGCAACAUAGCUGGCUGCAGAGCAACCCAGUUCCCAAAUCCAGCAGCUCUUGGAUGAGAAGUCUGCAAGUGUUUACUGCUGGGACCAGGACUGUGUUUCUAGGAAAUGGUGCUAGGCUUCAGAGAGCAUCAUCCACAGGUCAUCCCACAACCAUCCACACAGAAGCCUGAGGAAAAGGGCUCUGCAGAGCUUGCACAUAAAGAUGCUGAACUCAGGAAGGCUCUGUGAGCUGCUGGUCUCUUCUGGUAGGGCAGCAGUGUCCUGAGAAGGUGGAGCUAGAGUAUGGAGAACAAAACUAACAAGCACCAAGGCAGCAAGCAAGGCAACCCCCAAAUGACAGCAGUUGCCAAAUCCAAAGCAAUCUGUGCUUCAGAAGACAGAGGCUCUGCACAGUCCCUGUCUCAGACAUUGUCUCCUCCUUAGAAGAUACCUAACAACAGCACUGUGGGAGGCUGAGGUGGGUGGAUCACCAGGUCAGGAGAUCAAGACCAUCCUUGAUCUUUAGUAGAGACGGUGAAACACUGUCUCUACUAAAAAAUACAAAAAAAAAUUAGCUAGCCGUGGCGGCGGGCACCUGUAGUCUCAACUAUUUGGGAGGCUGAGGCAGGAGAAUGGCCUGAACCCGGGAGGCAGAGCUUGCAGUGAGCUGAGAUUGCGCCACUGCACUCCAGCCUGGGCAACAGAGUGAGACUCCAUCUC
rnacentral:lncRNA from 10 species